rnacentral:rRNA from 1 species
AUACUCCUACGGGGGGCAGCAGUGGGGAAUAUUGCACAAUGGGGGAAACCCUGAUGCAGCAACGCCGCGUGAGUGAGGAAGUAUUUCGGUAUGUAAAGCUCUAUCAGCAGGGAAUAGAAAAGAAGGUACCUGAAAAAGAAGCCCCGGCUAACUACGUGCCAGCAGCCGCGGUAAUACGUAGGGGGCAAGCGUUAUCCGGAUUUAUUGGGUUUAAAGGGUGCGUAGGCGGGAUGCCAAGUCAGCGGUCAAAUACGGGGGCUCAACCUGCGUCCGCCGUUGAAACUGGCGUUCUUGAGUGGGCGAGA